CAAACUCUCUCUUAUGUAUAUAUACAAACUCUCUCUUUCCUGUGUAACAGAUGAGAUCGGCAUAGGCAUUAGAGAUAGAGUUCAUCACGUGUAUCUGCCUAUCCCGACUCAAACUCUGCUUGUACUGUUCGCCGGGUAUCUCUACCGGCCUAUAUUAAUGAACUCGUGCGGCUGGAGAGAGGUGCAAGCGCUUAUGCCUAUUGCAAGUUAGAUGGCAUCAGGGCCUCUCUAAACUUCGACUUCAUCCUGAAGACCGGUCGGAAGAUCAUCUCCCACUACCGCAGAAAGGAAGCAACUAUGGCACUAUUGAAAGAUCUUAAAGAUGAUUUUACUCUAAAAGACCUUGGGGAGCUACACUAUUUUCUGGGGAUUGAGGUGACAAAAGUACGUGAAGGAAUAUACAGUACAUACAACAACAACAGGACGAUUUGAAUGUCUUCUGUCCAUUGAAGUUUCAUGUCUGAACAGACUGAUAGAGGUGAGCAUAAACCCGUUUAGUUCUGUGAACAACGACGAGGCUCAAGCCAGCUCCCAUAAUGCAGAACACGGUCAUAAUCAAUGAGCUGACAAAGAAGCAAAUAGACCCUUCACACUUCAAUGGUCCAUCUGCAAGAAAGCCUAUCUUGUGAAGCAUUUAUGGAGACAACAAUCCUGAGCUCUGAUGGUGGUGAGCUUGUUUCUCAGCUUCGUAGUCAUACAAGUUACUGGCAAUAAGGCCUGAGAAGAUGAGUGAUCCUGUGGGGUUCGCUAGUGUGAGAAAAUUGUACAUUGCACCGAAGUGUUUUAUUCGGAAAAGUUCAGAGACAGCAGCCGGCACAACAGCCCAAUGAGCUCCUAUCCGAGUCCAAUCAGGAAGGUCCCUAUGUACAUAGUUCCAGGCCAAGCCGAAGCAAAGAGGAAAUGCUCAGCAGCCAUCAGUAUCUGAGCAAUCGCCAGUGCUAUGUGCCUCGGGUCGUACACUCCCUGGUUAAAGGAAUAGAGAUCCAGGAUGAGAACAAAGAUUACAAAAUAUUCAAAACUUGUGAAUGCAAAAGAACCAUUCAACUCUAAGCGAACCCACAUAUAAAACAGUUAAUGAGAACUAGAUAAACUGAAAAUAGAACAAGAAAUUUGCUAUUUAUCUAAAAGCACUGCUAUUGUGGAGCAAACUCCGAAAGUUAACAUGUAAAUAUCCUAGCAGAAUAUCUGAAUGGGCGUAAAAUGUGUAUGCCUAAUCUCCUAGAAGUAGCAACCUCCAACACGACCUAGGAAGUUCCAUAUGCUUAUCAACGAAACGAAGAUAUGAGCACCUUCAUAACCGACAGCCUGGCUCAUCUGACUCAGAUUAGGAGAAAUCAAGUUGAAAUAUAUCUUGAUUUAUAUAUGAUAAGUAAUAAAUAAGAUUGUCGAGUUUUCGAAUGACUGGGAUGUUCGGAGGGUCUGUAUAUUUG